UACUCUCUGGAGAGGAUGGCUUUGA
rnacentral:piRNA from 1 species